UACAGAGGGUGCGAGCGUUGUUCGGAAUUAUUGGGCGUAAAGGGCGCGUAGGCGGUGCGGUAAGUCACCUGUGAAAUCUCCUGGCUCAACUGGGAGCUUGCAGGCGAAACUGCCGUGCUGGAGUGUGGGAGAGGUGCGUGGAAUUCCUGGUGUAGCGGUGAAAUGCGUAGAUAUCAGGAGGAACACCUGUGGCGAAAGCGGCGCACUGGACCACAACUGACGUUGAGGCGCGAAAGCUAGGGGAGCAAACAGG
rnacentral:rRNA from 1 species